rnacentral:lncRNA from 1 species
CCUCGAACCCAGGUCCAGCGACUGUCAACCCAUCACCUAUAGGCUAAUAUCAGGUCACUACAAAUCUCAACAAUGUUGUUAUUGUUGUUGUCUUAAUAUCUAACAGAAUCAGUAAAUUCUGCAUGAAUUAUAUUUCACCAGAAAUGACGUGAAAGCAAAUGGCAUAAGAGUGGAAAUCCCCACUACUCCCAGAUAAAGAGCAGCCAGACUCAUUUCCUAUAAACUAUCAGCGAGUAAUUCAUGCUUCGCUGAACUGAACCAAGAAGCCUACAUCGAUUUGCACACGAUUGGCCAACAGUUUCGAUAAAUCACACCAAAUGCAGUUGGCGCUGCCCCUGCCCAGCAGCCUGGCACUGGACUUGAUCGGUAAUGACAGCCUGCAGGACUGGGAAGUGAUUGGUGGAGGGGGAUUUGGACAGAUCCACAAGGCCAGGCAUAUAAAGUGGAGGUUUGAUGUGGCCAUCAAGUUGUUGCAUCAUGAUGAUGGGACUUUAAAUGGCCCCACAAACCGUGGACCCAGCUUCCGGCAGGGCAGGCGGAGGGGCAGGUUUCGG